rnacentral:rRNA from 1 species
GGCGAUGCGUCUUAAGCAUGCAAGUCGAGCGGGCUUAUUCGGGCAACUGGAUAAGUUAGCGGCGAACUGGUGAGUAACACGUAGGUAAUCUGCCGUAGAGUGGGGGAUAACCCAUGGAAACAUGGACUAAUACCGCAUAUACUCUUGCUACAUAAGUAGAGUAGAGGAAGGAGCAAUCCGCUUUACGAUGAGCCUGCGGCCUAUUAGCCUGUUGGUGGGGUAACGGCCUACCAAAGCUACGAUAGGUAGCCGACCUGAGAGGGUGACCGGCCACAUUGGGACUGAGAUACGGCCCAGACUCCUACGGGAGGCAGCAGCUGAGAAUCUUCCACAAUGGACGAAAGU